rnacentral:rRNA from 1 species
UACGGAGGGUGCAAGCGUUGUCCGGAUUUAUUGGGUUUAAAGGGUGCGUAGGCGGUUUUAUAAGUCAGUGGUGAAAUACCUCAGCUUAACUGAGGAACUGCCAUUGAUACUGUAGAACUUGAGUACUGUGGAAGUAGGCGGAAUUGACAGUGUAGCGGUGAAAUGCAUAGAUAUUGUCAAGAACACCGAUAGCGAAGGCAGCUUACUACAGAGUAACUGACGCUGAGGCACGAAAGCGUGGGGAUCAAACAGG